rnacentral:rRNA from 1 species
UGGGGAAUAUUGCACAAUGGGGGAAACCCUGAUGCAGCGACGCCGCGUGAACGAAGAAGGUAUUCGUAUCGUAAAGUCCUGUCCUAUGGGAAGAUAAUGACAGUACCAUAGAAGAAAGCUCCGGCUAAAUACGUGCCAGCAGCCGCGGUAAUACGUAUGGAGCGAGCGUUGUCCGGAAUUAUUGGGCGUAAAGGGUACGCAGGCGGUUUAAUAAGUCGAAUGUUAAAGAUCGGGGCUCAACCCCGUAAAGCAUUGGAAACUGAUAAACUUGAGUAGUGGAGAGGAAAGUGGAAUUCCUAGUGUAGUGGUGAAAUACGUAGAUAUUAGGAGGAAUACCAGUAGCGAAGGCGACUUUCUGGACACAAACUGACGCUGAGGUACGAAAGCGUGGGGAGCAAACAGG